AUACUUACUUGGCAGGGGAGACACCAUGAUCAAGCAGGUGAUUUUCCCAGGGCGUGGCUCACCCAUUGCACUUGGGUGUGUUGAACCCUGCAAUUUCCCCAAACACGGGAGACUCGACUGCAGAAUUUGUGGUAGUGGGGGACUGCGUUCGCGCUCUCCCCUG